rnacentral:rRNA from 1 species
AGGGUUCAUCCUGGCUCAGGAUGAACGCUAGCUACAGGCUUAACACAUGCAAGUCGAGGGGCAGCAUGAUUGAAGCUUGCUUCAAUUGAUGGCGACCGGCGCACGGGUGAGUAACACGUAUCCAACCUUCCGUACACUCAGGGAUAGCCUUUCGAAAGAAAGAUUAAUACCUGAUGGUAUCUUAAGCACACAUGUAAUUAAGAUUAAAGAUUUAUCGGUGUACGAUGGGGAUGCGUUCCAUUAGGUAGUAGGCGGGGUAACGGCCCACCUAGCCUACGAUGGAUAGGGGUUCUGAGAGGAAGGUCCCCCACAUUGGAACUGAGACACGGUCCAA